GCCUGGCUGGCUCAGUCAGUAGAGCAUGUGGCUCUCGAUCUCAGGGUUGUGGGUUCGAGCCCCAUGUUGGUG
rnacentral:tRNA from 1 species